rnacentral:rRNA from 1 species
ACUGAACGCUGGCGGCAUGCCUUACACAUGCAAGUCGAACGGUAACAGGUCUUCGGAUGCUGACGAGUGGCGAACGGGUGAGUAAUACAUCGGAACGUGCCUAGUAGUGGGGGAUAACUACUCGAAAGAGUGGCUAGUACCGCAUGAGAUCUACGGAUGAAAGCAGGGGAUCGCAAGACCUUGUGCUACUAGAGCGGCCGAUGGCAGAUUAGGUAGUUGGUGGGAUAAAAGCUUACCAAGCCGACGAUCUGUAGCUGGUCUGAGAGGACGAUCAGCCACACUGGGACUGAGAAACGGCCCAGACUCCUACGGGAGGCAGCAGUGGGAAUUUUGGACAAUGGGCGCAAGCCUGAUCCAGCAAUGCCGCGUGCAGGAUGAAGGCCUUCGGGUUGUAAACUGCUUUUGUACGGAACGAAAAGCCCCGGGUUAAUACCCUGGGGUCAUGACGGUACCGUAAGAAUAAGCACCGGCUAACUACGUGCCAGCCGCCGCAGUAA